GACGAACGCUGGCGGCGUGCCUAAUACAUGCAAGUAGAACGCUGACGGCGGAGCUUGCUUCUCUGGAUGAGUUGCGAACGGGUGACUAACGCUUAGGUAACCUGCCUGGUAGCGGGGGAUAACUAUUGGCAACGAUAGCUCAUACCGCAUAAGAGUAGAUGUUGCAUGACAUUUGCUUAAAAGGUGCAAUUGCUUCACUACCAGUUGGCUCUGCGUUGUAUUAGCUAGUGGGUGGGGUAACGGCUCACCAAGGCCACGAUACAUAGCCGACCUGAGAGGGUGAUCGGCAAAACUGGGACUGAGACACGGCCCAGACUCCUAGGGGAGGCAGCAGUAGGGAAUCUUCGGCAAUGGACGGAAGUCUGACCGAGCGACGCCGCGUGAGUGAAGAAGGUAGUCAGGUCGUAAAGCUCUGGAGUAAGUGAGGAACGUAAGGGAGAGUGGAAAGUUCACACUGUGACGGUAUCUUAACAAAAAGGGACGGCUAACUACGUG
rnacentral:rRNA from 1 species